rnacentral:rRNA from 1 species
AUUGAACGCUGGCGGCAGGCCUAACACAUGCAAGUCGAGCGGAGCGGCGGACGGGUGAUUAAUGCCUAGGAAUCUGCCUGGUAGUGGGGGAUAACGUCCGGAAACGGGCGCUAAUACCGCAUACUAUCAGAUGAGCCUCGGUCGGAUUAGCUAGUUGGUGGGGUAAAGGCCUACCAAGGCGACGCUCCGUAACUGGUCUGAGAGGAUGAUCGGUCACACUGGAACUGAGACACGGUCCAGAUGCCUACGGGAGGCAGCAGUGGGGAAUAUUGGGCAAUGGGCGAAAGCCUGAGCCAGCCAUGCCGCGUGAGUGAAGAAGGUUUUCGGAUUGUAAAGCACUUUAAGUUGGGAGGCGGUACCAACAGAAUAAGCACCGGCUAACUCCGUGCCAGCAGCCGCGGUAAUAC